rfam:Flavobacterium sp. 316 scaffold_5, whole genome shotgun sequence.
GUGGUGGAACCCGAAAAACCAUUUAAAAGAGUAGGGA